rnacentral:rRNA from 1 species
AUGGCUCAGGAUGAACGCUAGCGACAGGCUUAACACAUGCAAGUCGAGGGGCAGCAUAAAAGUAGCAAUACUUGGUGGCGACCGGCGCGACGGGUGAGUAACGCGUAUGCAACCUACCUAUCGAGAGGGGAAUAACCCGGCGAAAGUCGGACUAAUACCGCAUAAAACAGGGGCACCGCAUGGUGAUAUUUGUUAAAGAAAUUCGCUGAUAGAUGGGCAUGCGUUCCAUUAGGUAGUUGGUGAGGUAACGGCUCACCAAGCCGACGAUGGAUAGGGAACUGAGAGGUUGGUCCCCCACACUGGUACUGAGACACGGACCAGACUCCUACGGGAGGCAGCAGUGAGGAAUAUUGGUCAAUGGGCGGGAGCCUGAACCAGCCAAGUCGCCGUGAAGGAAGAAGGAUCUAUGGUUCGUAAACUUCUUUUGCAGGGGAAUAAAGUGCAGGACGUGUCCUGUUUUGUACGUACCCUGAGAAUAAGGAUCGGCUAACUCCGUGCCAGCAGCGGC